GAAAGAUUAGCUAGACUGUUUGAAACAGUGCUUUUUACUUGGCUUACUUCCUCAUACUGCAAACGAAGAGAUGUAACGCUCUAAAAACGAAGAGCUUGGAAGUUGCAAGAUGGCUCAGUGGGUAAAAGCACUUGCUGUGCAAGCCUGAUGACCUGAGUUCGAUCCUCGGAACCCACAUAAAAGAGCCAGAUGCCGUGGCACACGUGUAAUCCCAACACUCCCGCCUUGAGAUGAGAGGUGGAGACUGUAGAAGCACCCAGAAGCUUGAGGCUGGCUAGCCUGGAGACUGCCUGACAAACAAGGUUAUAGCCUGAAACACUGACCAACAUGAUGGCAAGAGCCCCAACUUCUGCCUUGGAACGGGAAGAUAAGAGCUUGCCCUUGUUUCAGUAAAGACAAAAGACAGGGGAUGAACAUGCUGACUUCAAGGAGCAAAAACGCCACUGUUUGCCUGAUGAAUAUGACAUUGGUGCUCAAAGACAAAAAUCUACAGAGCUAAGACAACAGGCACGAAGGCCUCUUCUUGAUGGGACUUAAAUGGAAAGAAAAACAAGCCACUCUGUUAUGAAAGAUGACUGCCACUGCAUCAAGGAACCUGCCAGCAUCCAGCAAGAAUUCCCACUUCCCCUUUCCCAAACGUAUCACCAUUUAACUUCAUAAAAUAAAACUCCAAGGGAAUCCUGCAAGUUCUUUCCUGAGAUGAGCAUCUGAUCAAACAUGCUGCCAACUCCAUGAUAUUUUAAUCUUCAAGGAAAAUUAGGGCUUGGGGAGGCAGCCAGUGCUUGACCCCUGCUCCUUUCACAACUACUCACU